rnacentral:pre_miRNA from 1 species
GCUUGGGGAACAUACUUCUUUAUAUGCCCAUACGGACCUGCGGAGCUGUGGAAUGUAAAGAAGUAUGUGUUUCAGGC